GGACAACCAGUUCUAAAAGGGCUUCUAAAUUUAACAACCGGUUCCAGCUCACCACUGGUUAAAUUCCAACAAGUCAAAUCCUUUGUUCUGUGCUGCAAGUUUACACAGUGCUUAGCAAUAGGCAAGGUGUACUAAAACAAAAACAGAAUAACUGCCCCAAAGAUCAGUAUUAUUAUAGUUCUGUUUCAUUCCAGAGUGGAUUACAAAGCGUUGAGGAAAAGGAUGUUUUGAAAUUGACGGACAGUGGAGUGGGAACUGGCUUCUCAAAUUGGACCUCUAAAAAUUUUGCAGCAUCAGCCACAAAAAAAUAAACGAUACUUUCCCUUAAGAUCACAUGUAUUAGAGCUGAGUACAGGAACAAUAUUGUUACAUUAUUUUCCCAAAAGGUAGAUCUUACAUUAAUAAAAUAUUUUAUUUUUAUUUUGUGACAUUUAAGAAAGAUCUGGAGAAAUAAGAUUCUUGGACUAAUCAUAACCCUUUUUCUCACAGCUGGGGUUACUCACUAAUUAUCUGGAAAUGAUCCCAUUGUAACUCCAAAAUAUUCUUACAUUCAACUUUCAUCAUCUGAAACACUGCCUUCAAAAAGCUCUGAAACAUCUUGGUAAUGGAAAAUGUCACAUCAGUGGAGAAGCAAAUGAAGAGCUGUGUGUUGUCAGCUUAUUGUUGAUAUUGGAGUCAUGGCAUUUCACUAUUUCCUCAAGUGUUCUCAUGUUGUAUGUUGAAGAAGCAAGAUCAUAUUGAAAAGGGAACCUCAAAAUGAGUGUUCUAGGAAAGAAGGAGCGCCUCAUUCUCUGUGAUACGUUUAAUAGGAAGGAAUGAAUGAAGCCACCUGAGUACUAUUCUGUCUGCUCCUGCCAUGUCGUUUAUAUAAGCUAGCAGCACUUCAUGAUCAAAGGCUGCCUAGAAAUCAAGAAGUAUUGGAAUAGAGGUUUGGCCCCUCUCUAAGGACAUCAGUAGGCCAUUAAUUAUGGCUUUUUCCUCAUACUUCUCUCUUCCCCAACUCUCAACCAGUGGUUAUAGGCCCUAUGUAAAGAAACUUCAAUCUUGUAUGUUUUAGGAGCCAUCCAUAGAGACACGUGAGUGUGAUCAGUGGGAUUCACAAACACUCCAAACAAGCGGGAGGAAAGACUAAACUAUAUACCAAAAAAUUCUGCUCACACGGAACACACAUAGAGGGAUAAUUUAUAGAAAUUACAUUACAAAUAGAAAUUAGCUCAAUGGACCUGAUCAAAUAUGUACAGUAAAAUGCUGUUCUAUGCUUCUAAUUGAAACUAACUUAUACUUGGGUCCCCAAACUCAAUCUUAUCUGUUGUGUAGAAGGCCCAUAAGUAACUUGUCCAAGGCCACAUGGUGAGUCAAGGACAGACCCAAGAUUAGAACGUAGGAAUUCCCAGCCCUAAGAUCCGUCCACAAGAACAUGCUGGCUCUGGUAUUAUACCUUGUAGUUGGGUUCCAGAUAGGAGUGUUUAUGUGAGAAUCUAAAAUAUAUAAAAUCAUCUUUUUGUAUGUGUUUCUAUUAAAAUAAAAUGCUGGUGUCUUCACUUAAGAACUGAGUCUUUAGAAUAAAGUUUGCUGUUUCCUGCUCCCUGCCCCUGUGUUCUAUAUAAUUUAUUGGAAAAACUGAAAGUUAAAUUGUGACUAGAUCUUAAACCAUAGAUCAUUUUUUCCUUGCAUCUUUAGGCAUUCUCUUGUGUUGGUUAUUUUUAAUGUAACAAAAACUAGUAUGCAAACAAAUGUCUUUUGGAUACUUGUUUCAAAGUAAGGCAUUUCAAUUAUUUAAUGCACAUUUUAAGAUUUGGUAGAUGAGGAUCUCUGAUAACAUCUCAGCAACAGCUAAAAUUGUAUUUUCCUGCUGUAACUGUGGUUCUUGAAUAUUCAUUAUUUAUAUAUAUAUAUUUUUUGUGAUUAAAGUAUUUUUUCUUCUGUCUUAUUUUGAGUAUUUAGUAUUUAUUUUUCAGCAACAGUAUUCUUGCUCUGGUAAUCUGACUUCCUAAGAAUACACAAGACGUGAUUACAGAUGGAUCAUCGGUAGUACUUUAAAUAUAUACAGCAAAGCUUUUGACACGGUCUCCCACAGUAUUCUUGUCAGCAAGUUAAGGAAGUAUGGGCUGGAUGAAUGCACUAUAAGGCCUGUGGUACAGGAUCGAGUCCAUAUGGAGCCUGAAUCUCCUGUUUCCCAUGGAGUCACUGGCAAGCAGGUGAUACAUGCCGCUUUCUUAUCAGCCCUGAAGAUGUUGGAUGUUGGAAAAUGGCCAAUUUUUGCUCUCUGCUCUCAAGAAGAACUGAAGUUAAUUCGUCAAGCCUGUGUAUUUGGCAGUGCUGGUAAUGAAGUGUUGUAUGCAACUGAAAAUGAUGAGGUGUUUGUGCUUGGCACCAACUGCAGUGGCUGUUUGGGAACAGGCGACAUUCAGAGCACUAUUGAACCACAGAGAUUAGAUACUUUAUGUGGCAAAAAGAUAGCCUGUCUGAGCUAUGGAAGUGGUCCUCAUGUUGUUGUUACUACUGCAGAAGGAGAAGUGUACACAUGGGGCCAUAAUGCUUAUAGUCAACUGGGCAAUGGUACAACAAAUCAUGGUUUAGUUCCCUGUCAAGUCUCUACUAACUUGGUAAACAAGAAAGUAAUUGAAGUCGCCUGUGGCUCUCACCAUUCCAUGGUGUUAACAUCUGAUGGAGAGGUAUAUGCAUGGGGUUAUAAUAAUUCAGGACAGGUUGGAUCUGGUUCAACAGCUAAUCAGCCAAUUCCUCGAAGAGUUACCAGCUGCCUACAAAAUAAGAUAGCUGUUAAUAUAGCUUGUGGACAGAUGUGCUCAAUGGCUGUUGUAGAAAAUGGGGAGGUCUAUGUCUGGGGUUACAAUGGUAAUGGCCAGCUUGGAUUGGGUAGCAGUGGUAAUCAGCCAACACCCUGUAGAAUAGCUGCUUUGCAAGGCAUUCGUGUGCAGCGGGUUGCCUGUGGCUAUGCACAUACAUUAGUGCUAACAGAUGAAGGUCAGCUGUAUGCAUGGGGAGCCAAUUCGUAUGGUCAAUUAGGCACUGGCAAUAAAAGUAACCAGUCUUACCCUGCACCAGUUAUUGUUGAUAAGGACAGAGUUAUAGAAAUUGCAGCCUGCCAUUCUGCUCACACUUCUGCUGCUAAAACCCAGGGUGGCCAUGUGUAUAUGUGGGGUCAGUGCCGUGGCCAGUCUGUGAUUCUUCCACACCUUACGCACUUUGCCUGCACAGAUGAUGUGUUUGCUUGUUUUGCUACUCCUGCUGUGACAUGGCGUCUCCUAUCAGUAGAACCUGAUGACCACCUAACAGUAGCCCAAUCACUGAAGAAGGAAUUUGACAAUCCUGACACUGCAGACUUGAAGUUUCUAGUGGAUGGAAAAUAUAUUCAUGUUCAUAAAGUCCUUCUCAAAAUUAGGUGUGAGCAUUUUCGUUCCAUAUUAAAUAACAAUGAUGAUGAUAUUAUUGAAAUGAGUGAAUUCUCUUAUCAAGUUUACCGAGCCUUCCUGGAAUAUUUGUACACAGACAGCAUCAGUCUCCCUCCUGAGGAUGCAAUAGGGCUGCUAGAUUUGGCAACAUUCUAUAGAGAAAAUAGAUUGAAAAAGCUUUGCCAGCAAACUAUCAAACAAAGCAUUUGUGAGGAGAAUGCAAUUGCUCUUCUUUCAGCUGCAGUCAAAUAUGAAGCUGAGGACUUAGAAGAAUUUUGCUUCAGGUUUUGUAUAAACCACUUGACUGUAGUUACACAAACUACAGGCUUUGCAGAAAUGGACCAUGACCUCUUGAAGAACUUCAUUAGCAAAGCAAGCAGAGUAGGAGCAUUUAAAAACUGAAGAAUGCUUGCUUCAAAGAAAGAUACUUUCAUCAUGGGAACAUUUCCUCUUUGAAAAACUUAUCAGCACUCAGAAUGCCUGGAAGAAAAGAGGACAACAUCCAUUAAAGUCAGUGUUAAUGUUGAUGGGCGGAUUUAAUAAGCUUCCAUGUAGCCUAAUGCACAAGCUUUGUGAAGAUGGGUAUGGUAUAGAAUAAACAAUAGAUAUAAACAAUCUGCCAACAACUUAGGUUUAAAAAAAAUCGUAAUGGAAUAAUUAAGUUUUCCUUUAAAAUCAAGUGGACUGUUCACUAUUUUCCAUUUAUAUUCCUUGUUUUCUCCCUUGAAAUAUUUUCAAAAACAGCUCUUUAACAUUUUCAUCUGAGUUUACUGGAUCGCAUGAAGCUGGCGGUUGCUAAAGCUUCAUUAUGCACCUUUAAGGUCAGUCAAAGUAAAUGUGCUACAAGAAGGUUCCUUUCUGGUUAAUUGAUCACCCCCUCUAGAGAAGUGUUGAGCUAGAAGCUUGUUUUGCUAAAUAUAGGAUAAAGGAAUAUAUCAUACAAAUUCCUCUUAAAAGAGCCCCUAAUAUAAAGAAAAAGCCACAGAAUGGAUACUUUGUAAAUUAGGAGCAGCCAAGGCUCAGUAGAAGGCUAUGCUGAAUUUAAGUAUGAAGGACUUAUUUUAAAGGCCUAGUUUUGAGUUCUUGGCUCUUAAAGUCAUUUUCUUGGAUGAAAAACAAUUGGUUCUUUUUUCCAGGGACUUUACCUCACCUUUCCAGUGGAACACUAACUUCUAAUUGGUUUUGUCAUGUAAUGAGUUAUUUCACUGUUAGUUUUGCUGCUCAGAAACACACCUCUUCACCUGCCAUGAAAAGGAAACUCAAUGAAAAGGAAUUAUCAAUUGACUUUUCUGCCAGUGUUUACAGAUAAGACAGGUGCUUGACAUGAAUUAUAUGUGUGGGAGGAGGGAUAGGGAAAGUUAUAAAUCAAUUCAAUGAUUAAAUAAGAAAAGUUAAACUGAAAGUCUUUUCAAGUAGUAACCAGGUGCCAUUCAAAUACUUCCUAAAGCAAUAGGUGGAGAAGGUUUCAGUAUGCUAAUUCUUACGUGGAAAGACUUUUGCACUGUGACACAGAAUGCUGAGAUUAUAAAAUGUUUAUCAGUUUUGGUUUCUGUUAUGGUAAAGAAGACUAAUUUGUAUGUAAAUUACUUAAUCUAAUUUCUGUUAAAUGAACUGGCUUCACAAACUGAUGGGCCAGUGGUUAGGACACCACCCUAGCCUUGCUCUGUCAUAGACAUCCUGUGUGCUCUUGGGCAUGUCUACACAGCAGCUGGGAGGUGUAAUUCCUACUUCUGGUUCCAUACAUCUGGUUGCUCUGCUCCAGUUAGCACCUACAAAUUGCAGCAUGACCAUCCUGGGGUGACCCCAAAAACAGACUCACGGUACCACCAGAAUAGCUUUAUCUAUUGCCCCCUCCUGGAUUUAGCAGAGGUUCCCUAACAGGUAGCCUCCCAACUUUUACUUGGUUUCUGCAGGGUGAAAGGGAAUGACUUGGGUUUACUAGCAGUUCCUUUUUAGAAAAACUCCCCAGAAUAUCUUAGACCAGUUACCCUUGGGAGGACUCGGAUACAGCCUAUCAAUAGAAUUGAUAGAUACACAGGCGGUACUUUUCCAAAAAAAGUAUCUUUUAUUACAGUAGCACACUGCUAAUCCCUGGCUACAAUGUAAUCUAAGCAUAAAGCACUGGAAAUAAAUCCCUUACCACAAUUCCUUAAUACAGAUUUUAAAAUUUCCCAAUUGCAAUGUCAUACAAUUAGAACAGUAUUAAGCGUUGCACGAUGCAUACGGUGAUCAGCAGUGUGCAGUCCUGACAGCAAUCUUAAAUCUUCAACUUUAUACAUAUGAAUGUUACAUUGUUUUAUAACACACACCUUUAUUAACCCAGACAUACAUACACAUGCUCAUUAAUCCUAUUUCUGUUCUGUAUUUGCACGAUACCUAGCAUGCUUACUUGCCGUAGGUAUCUUUCUCUCUGCUCUCUCAGGGUCCGUUCUGUUCUACACUGCUGCCAAUUAAGAAACUUUUAUUUUAAUUCUGCCACAAUGUUUAGCUAAUGAUGGCAAAGUGAUGUUUUUAGUGCUGUGCUUAGGAAACAGAAUAGAACAGUUCAAAAAUCUCUAAUAUCACUGGAAUGAGCAGUGGCCUGGGCUAGUCAUCUGAGAAUAAUCCUACCCAAGCCCCUGGGUACGUACUUGGCUAGCUAGCCUGAGCUGCUGUGGCCACAGUUAUUUUUAGGCACUAGCUCAAGCAGAGCCAGUGCAUGUACAUCUACCCAAGCUGGCAAUAACAUCUCCCAGCUGCUGGGUACAGGUAUCCUUAGUCUAUGUCGCAGUUCUUCCUCUGUCAGAAGGGGAUAAUAGCACAUCCCUACCUCACAGGGGUUUUGUGAGGGUAAAUCUAUUAACUUGAGGUGCUUAGAAAUGAUGGUAUAUAAACCAGAUUCAACCCACCACUAGAAAUAGUCUUUAAUCUGCUGUGUCACUAACUAGUAGAGCUGGUCAAAAGUUUUUCUGAUGGAACUUUUAGCUGGAAUGGAAAAUGCCCUUUUGUAAAAACAAACACACCCGUUUCAUUUAGAAAUGGUUGAAAACGCAUUUUGAUGAGGCCAGAAUAUUAUUUUGGCACUUUUGGAACAAAAUGUUUCAACUUUUGAUUUUUGGGACCAUUGUUUUAUAAGAAAUUUUGAAACAGUAAAUGAAACAUUUUCAGCUGAGACUAAACAGGUUUUCAUAAAGUUCAGUGUGCAAGAAACUUCAAAAUCACAAUUGCCUGUGAAAUGAAAAUUUGGGCAUCUGCACUCCUCUACUAAAUAGUCUGCAUUCAGUGACUAAGGAAACAAGGCUGCAUUUGUAGAGGAGUCUCACAGGAAAACCAAUUCUGAGCAGUGUCCAUCACCCUUUAGUCUCUUUGCCCUAAGCAGCAUUUCAGUUGUGUACACCAAAGCUUGGGCUGUUUUCUUUCAGGCAGCUUUUUAUUUUUGUAGUAGUGACCAUAUGGAACUAACUCUUUGAGAGAACUUCUCUGCAGUGAUGUCUGUUUUGAGGAUAAAAUGCAGACGUCUUCAUUUGUUCAUUCAAUGAGGAUUUUAUGCAUUUAAUUCUUGACCUGGACAAUUUAAUAGUAUAUUUAUACACUGCUAUAUGCACACACAGUAAAAAUAUAUUUAUUUAGCUUUCAUUCACAUUACUCAUUAAACAGCAACACAAGUUACUUUCCUUUGCAUUUAAAGGUCAAGCCUUCAGAAGUGCACUGACUUGGUGUUGGAAACCAAAAUGCAUGUGUGUCUGUACAGGUGUGUGCUCGAACAGCAGUGUGAGGACACUAAAUCCAUCCUGGGCGGUAACAGUUUUAUAUUUUUUUUUGUUUUUGAUGAUUUGAGGAUGCUGCUGUCACCACUCCUAUUGAUCUUGGAAUUGGAUCCAUUGUUAGCCAGUAUUAAAUGUGUUUCCGGAGACUCCAGUUCAGACAGCAAUGAAAAAAUAUUUGUAGACAUUUGGGACUGUAAUCCUAGACAGGUGAGGUAUUCAUUCGAAAACUGGACUGAUGGCCUAAAAUAUCCUUGGACAGCUAAACAAGAGACUCCUCCAACUAACCACUGGGGAAAACAGUAAUAGUUAAUCAGAGAAGUUACUCUGACCUUUAAAACACAUCAUAUCAGGAAAUAAGAGGACAUAAGGAAGGGACCCAGACAUAAAACUGCAGGGAGAAAAGGUCUCUAAUACUAUUGUUUGUCCAACUUUGGAUCCUUAAGGCAGGAUCCAGAAAUAUCAGAAAGUUCACUUUGAGUAUUUUGUACCUGGGGAAAAAAAAUCUGUCCCUGGAAAACACUUACUCUCUGAGUAAUUCAUACUCAGUGAGGUUCAAACUGACUAACAGAUGACCAGCAGUGUAACUGUCCACUCAAACUGUGAGGGGAAAAAGUACUAGAAGAUGUUAAAAAUCUGAGGUAUCUGUUAUUUGUUUCAGUAGUAUGGCUAUGUGAGUUUACUUUACACUGUGUUUGCAUGUUGUACUUACAAUGGUAGGGCCUAAUUCUGCAACAGUUAUGACUGCAUGCAUAGUAAAGUUAACGGGUAAUGGUAAUUCUACAGAGUCAGAAGUCGUUGCAGUAUCUGGCCCCUGAUUUACAAAAUAUGCAAAUAGUGCAUAAAAUUCCAACAUUAAAAUGAAAUCUAAUGAACAAAAGAAUUAGUGCAUUUCAAAUCAUUCUAUCUAACUUCAUUUUUGAUAGAGUUCAAAAUAAGUAGAAUGAAUUGGCAUUAAAUGAACAAUAUUGCGAUAGGAAGCUGAAAAGCUCCUCCAAAUCCUCAAAAAUAUAUAAAUUAAUAAAUUCAGUGGCUUACAUUGUGUACAUGCUACAUCAUAAGGCAUAAUAUAAUGAAAAACACUGAAGUAAAAAAAAAAAGCCAAACAUUUUAAACUAACAAUUGAUAAUAAAAAAGUAACUAACAUGGUGGCUGAAAAAGAAAGACAAAUGCAGAGAAGCAUGCGGUGCACCGCAUGGUCCUGAGAAGAUGUUCACUUUUCUUCAGUGGCUGAUGUAUCUGUUCCAUCACUUAGUUUUUGCUUUUGCAUUCUUGUUCGAGUAGAUGCUAGAGAAAAGUGACAGUAAUUUUACCACCUUUUAUAGUAAAUCAACUUGUGCAAAACAAUUUUAAAGGGUGUAUUUAUUCAUGAUACAAAGAAUUUAACUUUUAGCCUGACAGCUUUUCUAAACAAAUUAAACCCUAAUUUGAACUACAAGUACUCAAAUAUUUAAUUCUGAAUUACUUUGGUAAUUCUGACUUGCCAGUUUAUUUUACAGCCUUAAAGAACUGUGUACUUACAUUGUACAACUCCAUGUACUUAUACUGGCUCCCAUUAUUCAAACUCUUUCUCUCUCUCUUUCCUGAGCCCUAUAUGUGGGUCAAGUCCUUUUAUUGCUCAGAGUAGCUAAUACCUCAAUCAGAAGAGAACUCUGCAUCCGAAGCCUGACUCACCAACUUCCUCUAAAAGGAACUUUUCCAAAACUUCAGUGGCUAAAUAAUCUCACACUAUUAAAAAGUAACUAGAUAAAAUACUAGAACAUCAACUCUUAAACUUUGCAACUAGUAAACUAUGAAACUUUAGUUCCCUACCCCAAUUUAACAAAGAUAUAUGUAGAGUGUUUGGUUCAGCAGACAUGCCUGUCUUAGAGAAGAAAAUCUGAUAGGUUAAACAACUGUUUUUGGUGGGGAUAAGUGGGCAUAUCCACUGAUUUAUACACAAGAUGUGACAAGCAGUGAAAAACUAUUAUAGUUAAACCAAUAUUAUGGCUGCUGAGAGCAGUGGUUCUCAACCUUUCCUGGCUACUGUACCCCUUUCUGGAGUCUGAAGCCCAAGUCCCACUGCCUGGGGCUGAAGCAUGUAACUUAGCUUCAUGGAGCCCCAGGCAAUUGCCCUGCUUGCCAUCUGGUAAUGCUAGCCCUGCACUUGCGACCCAUCCUGUGACCUCACCCUGGCGGUUGCGACCCCCAGGCUCAGAAACGCUGAUCUAGAUCAGCAGUUCUCAAACUGUGGGUUGGGACCCCAAAGUGGGUCACAAUCCCAUUUCAAUGGGGUUGCCAGGGCUGGCAUUAGACUUGCUGGGCCCAAGGCCAAAGCCUGAGCCUCGCCGCCAGGGCUGAAGCCAAAGCCUGGGUGGCGGGGCUCAGGUUACAGUUCUGCUACCUGGGGCAGUGGGGCUUGGGCUUUGGUCCCCCAGCCUGGGGUGGUGGGGCUCAAGCAGGCUCAAGUUUCAGUCCCCCCACCUGGGGUCAUGUCGUAAUUUUUGUUGUCAGAAGGGGGUCACGGGUAUAAUGAAGUUUGAGAACUCCUGAUGUAGAUGAGUUGAUGUACCCUCUGGAAAACCUCUGCAUAACCCCAGAGGUACGCGUAUCCUUGGUUGAGAAUGACUGGCUUAGAGCACUGACAAGAUGUGGUCUCAAGAGGGAGGGCAGUUUUGUUUUUAAUUUGGUGGGUAAGAAUUUUACUUGAAAAGCUGAAGGGAACCCUGUAAAAGCAGAAAGAAACAUUGAUCUGACUGCCUGUAACCACAUCCAAGGAAACAUAAAAUGUUUAUUAUAGCUGAUCUGUGGUGUUUCAGUAUUAGAACAAGGCAAUGUACAAAACUAUGCAAAAUGCAGUCUUCUGUGCAUAUACAGUUAAUGGAGCACAUGCCUUCCAGGUACUGAAAUCCAAAGCAGUUCACCUGGUCUCUUCGGUGCUGCUGCAUCUGGGGAUAAUUUGUAGUAAUUUCGUACGGGUGACUUUCCAUUAGAAAAUGGUUAGGAAUACACCUCGGUGUGACUGCUUUAAAAGGUGGACUUUAACACAGAUUUCACCGCAUGGCUAUAUGAAAGAAGCAGGGAUAGAAGACUGUGAAAACAUAGAGCUCAUUAAGGUGGAGCCUAAAGAGCACCACUCUACCAAAAGCUGCAUCUGAGACUCGCCAUCGAAUGCAGCAUGUAGCCACAUAACUUCUCUGCCCAGGAAGCCCUCUGAUCUUGAGUGUCCUGCUUUAUCUUCUGAGGGUAUUGUGAAUCUUCUCCUGAGAUCCAGUGUGGGUAGAUGAUUUUUUUCUUUUCAUACUUGAAGUCAGUAUUAAAAAAACAACUACUUUCUGGGAUGAAUUCUUCCUCUAUUAUUUUGUCCCUGUGGAAUAUGCAGUAUAGUGGCUUGCUGGAGCAUGUUAUACCGCCCCAAUCCUGCCAAGAUAACAGGUCACUGGUGGUUAAGAAGGUAUGUGAAUAUGAUCUGCCAAACAGGACCUCUGGGAACAAAGGACUGAAUGCUAAUGAAAUCUGCACUUUAAGUACUAUGCACCAGUUCCGGUGACUAUGACAUGAAAGAGCUAAUGGGACGUCAAUUGCUUUAUACCUGCAACCUCUCUCUGUACCAAGAACUGAAAAAGGUUCCAAAUAAAAAUGUAAGCCUUCAAGGAUGAUUCCUUCCUGGCCAAUAGGAGUGUUCUCUUUUCCUUUGCAGCCUGUUUUCUUUAGCUCUUCCUAUUCAGAAGCAUCAUGGACUUUGUGUUCUACUUCUGAGAGAACGCUGAGAGAAUAGGUUAUUCCUCCUUGAUAACAAGUGCAGUAUGGCCUGGGAUGUCAGAUACAUCAGCUCAGACAACUUCUGACUCAUGGUCCAGUGGAGAGCAAUCAACAUCAUACUGUUCUGUUUGAUCUUCUGUACCACUCUGGACAGCAGUGGAAUUGGACAGAAGCUAUAAUAGAGAAUUGGGAUGACCAAUCCAAGGACAGAUAUCCACUGUUGCCACUUUCUGGAGGUCCUCUGUGGAGAGGUUUUGCAACUUUUGCUGACACUGAAUACUGUUUACUAAACCAAAAGGGACUAUUUGUCUCAUCCAGUUCCCAGUCCAACUGAGAAAUCUACGAGUAGAAGAGGCAUCAUGGUCCUGUGGAAGAAGAGGGCCCCGAACUGCAGAUUGUCUCCAUACUUUCUGCAAACACUUGCUCCAAUACUCCAGCUAGAAGACAUGCAAGUCUGUACUGGGAAGCAAGGGAGGACAGAAGACAUAUCAAAGUAGAGCUAUUGCUGGUGAAAUUCCAAGACAGAAUUUAGCAGAUGGAGAGAUGUUUUGAGCUCCAAUCUCUACAAUGGAUCCAGAUACUUGAAGGAACAUAGAUGGGGGUGGGCUCUCAAAUGAAAGAGUCUCCCUGCCUCCACUGACCAAUGAAAGGGGAGCCAGACCACACGUAAACUGUAGCAAUUUUUAGGGUCGGGGGGGGGGAAGAGUGGCAGCUUUCCUUACACAAAAAUGAUGUCAUGGAAGGUCUUAGGGGUUUUUUGUGUGUGUUGUGGGGGGCCUGGAAGGGAGGCGGUAGUAGGGAGCAGUGGUACUCAAGAAUUUCUCCGAAAUCUGCCUCCAUACUAAAACCUUUUGCAGCCUAGAGUGUUAACAGCAGUUGCCUCUGAGACAACAUUGCUACUGGACCAACAGGCAGCUGGAAACACUUGUUCAUCAGAGCACCUCUGGUGGAUUGUAUUUUGGGUUUUGUACAUGUAUUUUAUUUUAUUUUUGUGUAUUAUAGCAUUUAUCUGCAACACCAACAGCUCCAAAAGAAACCAGCACAGCAACACUUAUUUACCAGACUACAAAAACUGCUUAAGCACUACGAACACCACUGUUUAACAUUCACUGUACUGAGCAUUUUAUUUCUGUAAUUAACUUAGCAAGAUUAGAUCAGUUACCAAAUCAAUUUAAAUGCAACUCUUUUGAGGUUAAGUGCAAUUUUUACAACUGGUAAACCACACUUACAGUUGAAUAAUUUAAGAGAGGCUAAACAUUCGUUUUCACAUUCAGUAUUAAAGCUUUCAGUUCAAUACUCUUUUAUAGGUCAAACCCACGCAAGUUGUCACAAACAACAGCUGAAGGUCUGAAAAGAAAGUUAGCACUAAUCUGGCUGUAACACAGUGUAUGUCUUGCCCUCAAGCCUCACCAAAUCCCCCAGAUAUCCACCAUGAGAGUUCUGUUGUACGUCCAGGGGAGUAUAUGGUAUGAUUCCUCCCUAUCCUCUUCAAAAAUGUGCCAUACAGCUCCAUAUGGUAGAUCCCAACUACAGACUGAGCACAUACUAUACAUCUCUUAAGAUCCCCUUUCUAUCCGAAAGCAAAUGAUAAAUUUACUACAACAAAUCUUUUGCAUAUUACUUAGAACCGUAUUAAGGCCAGUAUUUAUUUAGAAAGCUUCAGUCUAAGAAUUCCCAUGUUUAAGAAAAAUUUGUCAUGUUCAUACACUAUCUACAGGAAAUGUCUAUCUUACAUGAUAUCUAGGUCAGUUAGCACACUUGAAAUGGUGGCCCAGUAUUUCCAUUUUAAACUAGAUGGAAACUCUAAGACUGAGUAACAUAAUAAACGUACCCAGUAAUUCCUGCUGUUACUGAAAUUAUGUACAUAUUUAGUAAGAUUUUUAUUUGGAGAAGUUGGCAGGCAGGGAAACAACCUUUUUUAUCCAAGACUGUCAUUUCUACUCAUUUACUACAGUAGACAAUACUUACUCAUUUCUGCAAGCUUUUGCUGGAAUUUGGACUCUCCAGGUAGGUGUUUGCUGCGGACAGAAAACAUUUAAUUGAAGCAAGUAGCAUGUUCUUUUUAUUUUUGUCUAAAUAAAGCAGGUUACUAACUGUGGUUAGUUCACGUCAGCUCCGUCACCACCUCUGUCUGGUUUCUUAUAAAAAAUGCAAACCUAGCCCUAGUAUUUUUUCCUGCAUACCAAAGCUGAUUCAAGAGUUGUUAGCUUUCUGAUACUCAAUUUUAUCCUCAAUUUUGCUAAGUUUGACCAAAGCCACUUGAGACAGUAGUUUAAUAUCCAAUUCUGGUCCAGCAGGAGAGACUCUUGCUCCUGACACUAGAGAGGUUCAGAUUCAAGAAGCACUAGGCUAAAAUCUAUCACUAAAUAUUUUAUAUUAUUCCAUAUAUUAGGUGAGAGAGGUAAUAUCUUGUAUUGGACCAACUUCUGUUAGCGAGAGAGACAAGCUUUCGAACUUACGCAGAGCUCUUCUUCAGGUCUGGGAAACAAAACAAUGGAAAAUACUGAAUUUUGACAACACAGCUACAACACUGCAUACGUACAUUAGCUAAGACAUAGCACCUCUGUAUGAUGGUAGCUUGUUUGCUUUGUUAUUAUUUUGCUAAACCUUAUGUUAUAGGCCUCCAGAAAUAAAAGUACAUAUAGCUUCAUGACAAGUUAAGAACUAUAUCCUACCUUCCAUCUGCCUCAUCCUGUCCUUCUAUAUCAAAGCGAAGUCUCUUCAGUGGUUUAGGAGCAGUGCUUACUUCAGCACUACGUUUCAGCUGACGGUCACUGCUACCCACCAUUUGGUUUAUUUUCUGAAACUUCUCAGAAGUCUGGGAUUACAAGACCAUAAAAAACAUUCCCCAUUAACUAUGUACAUUUUCCAGACUACUAGCCAAAAAUCAAUUUUUCAGAGUUCUAUAUAUCAGCUGUCUUUUAAGGGCUCUUUAAAACGUUCCCUAACUACCCUAAUAUAACAUGGAAGAUCUUUUAUAAAUUCAGGCUAUUUCAGAGAUGCUAGCAAGUGCCCCAGCAAUCUGUGUGUUUACAAAUUCCACAACACACACAACUAAAGCAGUGACACUGACCAGUUCUACAAAACAGAAAACUGCACAUUCCUUCCGAUGUUUUUUAUAUAUAUACACAAGAUUUGACAUUCAAAAACUUUCACUCACCCCAAAUGAUUCACCAAUUGACACCAGGAUUCUGUCAAGACAAACAAGAUGACAACCUUUAAAGAUUAAGCCUUAUUUACAGUGAAAAGACAGAAACACUCACAAACUUGCACAAUUUGGCAUGAAGACUAGUGAAGAGAACAUAUGCUUUUUAAGACAUUGGCAUACUAAACUAAAGAAAUCACUCCUUUAUCUCUUAAAAAUAUGCUAAGCAUUCAAUGAGGGCAUAAUAUUCACCACAACCUUAAUUUCUUCUUAAAUUUUUACAAUUCUAGACAGAAUUGUAGAGGAAGUGCUGAACCACCAAAUUAGAAUCACCUUGAACUGCACGUGGAAGAGAAAUUGUGGAAUGGAGAGAAUUAGAGGCCCGCUUAGUCCAUUCCAUGCUUUUUGACAGGAACACCCCGUUCUCAGUAGGUGGGUAGCCCAGACAUGCCCUUCCUUUGAUCAUUACCUUUAGAUGUUUGCUAACCAAUCAUAGCAGGAGUUUAACCUAAAACAAACAAUGAUAUUUGUAACUUUUUCAGUGUCCAUGCCCACGCAAUCCUUGGCCUCUGUGCUGAGCCUUCCCACGAGGGGCCUGUUGUGAUGGUGUUCACUGGGCACUAGACUAAGACAACAAACUCAUUUUGCAUAGGCCAAACAGCCAGAGUGUGGCAAUGGAUGAUGUUCAAUUGCUACCAUCCCUGGCUGAAUCAAAAACUAGUAGCAUAAAGCUAGACUGCUGACCCAUUACGAGUCCUCUGAGCCAUCAGUGCACAUGCUGGUUGCACUGAAGUAGAUCACAUUUUACAUGAAUAUGAUAUACAUAGACAGUGAUAAUAUAUAACAAAUCAAAUGAGGUACAUCGAAGAAGAGAUGUUUCUAUUUCAUACUAAAUCCAUCUUCCAGUGGAUUGAUUGCCAACUAAAAGGCCUCAUUCUAAGUAAAGGUUGCAAAAUAGGGCUCAAACUUUGGACCAAAAGAAAGAGCUAUAGCCAUUGAUAUCUAACAAAAUCACAGUGUAUAAUUUCCUAACUUGCUUGAAUUAAAUACUUAUUUGUUACUGUCA